GAGUGUCAGCCCAAUAUUAUUUUGGUUCAAGAACCUAAUAACACUUACUCUUUUUUUAAAGGAGUGCCCCUCUUCCCAUGUGGAAAUAGGUGGUUAGUUAUGAAACUCUUGAAUACAUUUUUAUAAUAGAUAUGUUAAAUCAUAUUUUUUUAAUAUG
rnacentral:misc_RNA from 1 species